CGGUAAGGCACCGGAUUCUGAUUCCGGCAUUCCGAGGUUCGAAUCCUCGUACCCCAGCCA
rnacentral:tRNA from 1 species